rnacentral:rRNA from 1 species
CGAACGCUGGCGGCGUGCUUAACACAUGCAAGUCGAACGGAAAGGCCCUGCUUGCAGGGUCCUCGAGUGGCGAACGGGUGAGUAACACGUGGGUGAUCUGCCCUGCACUUCGGGAUAAGCCUGGGAAACUGGGUCUAAUACCGGAUAGGAGCCAUUUUUAGUGUGAUGGUUGGAAAGUUUUUUCGGUGUAGGAUGAGCUCGCGGCCUAUCAGCUUGUUGGUGGGGUAAUGGCCUACCAAGGCGGCGACGGGUAGCCGGCCUGAGAGGGUGGACGGCCACAUUGGGACUGAGAUACGGCCCAGACUCCUACGGGAGGCAGCAGUGGGGAAUAUUGCACAAUGGGCGCAAGCCUGAUGCAGCGACGCCGCGUGGGGGAUGACGGCCUUCGGGUUGUAAACUCCGUUCGCUAGGGACGAAGCUUUUUGUGACGGUACCUAGAGAAGAAGCACCGGCUAACUACGUG